UACGGGGGGGGCAAGCGUUGUUCGGAAUUACUGGGCGUAAAGGGCUCGUAGGCGGCCAACUAAGUCGGACGUGAAAUCCCUCAGCUUAACUGGGGAACUGCGUCCGAUACUGGAUGGCUUGGAUUUGGGAGAGGGAUGCGGAAUUCCAGGUGUAGCGGUGAAAUGCGCAGAUAUCAGGAGGAACACCGAUGGCGAAGGCAGGUCUCUGGGCCACUACUGACGCUGAGGAGCGAAAGCAUGGGGAGCGAACAGG
rnacentral:rRNA from 1 species